UCAAAAUGAAGAUAACUCCAAGCACAGAAGCUUCACUUAGCACCUAACUGAUGGUCUUUCUAAUAUAGUGAACAUUUAUUUAAGAGCACUUAUAAUUAUUCAUGAUGGAGAACAUAAAGUGAACAAGAGUCUCAAUGAAGCAUAAAAUCUUAAGUGAGAAUAAAGCUCCAGCACAUGGAUACCAAUAAAUAAAGUGAUGUUCACAUCUGGCCCAACAGUUUGAAUCAUCUAGUUCUGUGCCAUAUCUCCAAAGUAUAAAUUGACUUGCUGAAGGCAGAAGAAGAAAAAUGUCCAAGCAUUGAGGAAAAAUAUCCUAACUGUAUUAAUUUAAGAGUCCAAAAAGGACAUGGUUUUCAGCCACACCAUAAGAGGAUGGAAUUUCAUUCGAUCUAAAAGUAGAGAGAGAGCAUUCCAUGCAGAUGGGAUGGUAUGAGCAAAGAUGCUGAAGCAAUGUAUUUUGGAGAACAGUUUGGCUGGAUCAUGGAUUUCACAUAAGAAAGUAGUAGGUAUAAAGAUUAAAGAGACUUUUGGAACCAGAUUGGAAUGAAAAACAUAAGGCAAAUUAUACAUUGUAUGAAGUUCUCACAAUGAUAGACCACAGAAGAGAGUUACAGCUCCGACUCAGUCACAUGACCACAAGGUAUACUGAAUACAACAAUUUCUUCAAUAUGUAAAUUAAUUUGUGACUCAGUUUGCUGGGUGAUGUUCACAUCAUGACUCAAAUGGAUGCAACCACUUAAAAAUGAAUGACUUGGGAGGAUGCCAUGGACUAUAGAGCUAUCUGAUUCUUAGAUGUGGAAAGGAGAAGGAAACACAAAGGAGAAUCAGUCAUCGCUUUUCUGUGUGGCAGACAAAACUCCACGGAACGCCGUCUAGUGGCGGAAUUGUCCAGGGAAGGCAAGUCAGUUUCAUCCUUCCUCGAAUUUUCUUUUUAAUUGGAUUUUUGAAGGUUCUUUACGUCUGUCAGACUGCAAAGGGGACACAGGACAGUCUCUAGAUUUUGUCCGGUAACCUGAGGCCAGCCCAGACUAAGCAAGAACGUUAAACCAUUUUUCUGACUCUAUCCUGAAUCACCUCUUUAGAGACCAAAGGCCAAAAAACCCCACUUCUCUACCAGGUGAAGGUGGAACUCUGCGGAAUCCUUGCCUAAGGCGCAGCGGCCCCCAGGCGGAAAUUUCUCAUUUUUAUAUUUGUUCUCAAGGGAUGGGAAUCUGGUCUGGGUGGGAACUGGCACGGGAACUCCUGUAAAGUAGUGACAUAGCUAAGUAGCCUCCAGACACCUCCCAAAACAAGUUUUAAACUCAGUGCUUACAAAUGGCUCUUCCUUGGAUUUGUUCUAUGGAUCCUUCUCUACCCCACCCCUCAUGAUCCCCCAAAACCAUUCACUCAAGAAAUGUAGUCCAUUCUGUGUUUGCAUUUACCUCCAAGGCCUCUUAGUAAGACCAAAAUUUUUGACACCUGUCGUCAACAGCCUGUCUUACCAUGCUUUAAAAUUACAGCCUACUCUCAUCCAAUACUUCCCACCUUACUUUGUGAAAUUUAAAGAAAUUCUUAACUCCUUAUUUAAAGACCCUACUUUUCCUGUUCGCCUCAUUUCUAACUUCAAAGAGAAUCAGAGACAUAUAUGAAGAAAGUAGGUAUAUUUUCGGUUGGGGGUAUGAGCGCAAUAAAAAGAAACUUGACUCACAGGGAACUAAAUAACUGUAAAUAAAAAGGAAAUCACAAUUCCUGAGAGUGCUAUAAAGCAAAUUCAAGGAGGAAGUUAGAGGUGGUUCCAAAUAAACAUUCUACUCCUUAUCAGUAGGAACAGGCUAAUCUUCCUUAACCCUUAAAAGUAAUUACCUAUAAUAAUUAUUUUCAAACUGUAAACUGCUUUCAAACACCAUAGUUAGCGUUUUACCAGGUUUAUUUUACUUGUAUACACAGACGAUACAAACGAGCAAAAAACAAAACGUUUCUCAAUGGAGUGUGUACUUGUAUAAAUUAUUCAGUUCACAGACAAAACGAAACAAAUAUAAAAAUCACAACAUUUGAUUUACAGAAGAGCCAAAAUAUACACACGUUUAGACCCUGAAUUCCUAUUAGGAAAAAAUCCCCCCAUGGACUGGAAUCUAGAUUGAAUAUUGUGUAUGAUGCAUAUUUCACAUUAAUUUUAAAAUACAAAAAAAGUAUAGGUUUGCUACACAACAUUAGAAAUCUUACUAAUCUAUUUCCAGGGGGAUUAAUGUUCCUUAUCAAAUAUGACAAGACUUAGAGGGGGGAAAUCAGUCUUAUUUGCAUUAUGCUAGUGUUUUCCCAAGGAAGUCAAAUUUCAGCUGUUUCUAAGUGGCAGGGGGAAUCAUUUUCAAAACUAAAAUGCAGUAAAAUAUACAACUCACACAAUUCAUCUUCACUAGACUACACUAUAGUUACCAACAAUUCAGUCAUCUAUAUCAUUAGUAGAGUAUUCAUUACAAAGAUUUACAGCAUAUAAAGGUGGAGGGGGCUGAAAAGAUAUUCAAAAACAGUUUGUCAGCAUAUUUGGCACCUGCACAGACCAGUAAUGGAUUUGGCACUUUGGGGAAAACAAAUAAGGCAAAAUAAUAUUGCUGAUGUCGAGCUAUUCUAUUUAGAAGGAAGGGAGGAAAACACAACUCCAGUUAACUUUGCUUUGCAGGCAUCAUGCCACUUAAUCUACUUGCCUAUGAACAGACACCUAUCCUUUACAGGUGUUUGGGCAGAUUCUCCUUAGCUAUUUGUGUGCAUUAGGGCACAUAGUAAUUAUUUCAUGCAACGAAUUGAGGAGAAGUGAGAAACCCAUGACUAUCAAGUAUUUCAUUGUUUCCAGAGCCUCUUAGAAUGUUUUUAAUUAUCUCACAAGAAAAUAGAGAAGAGAGAAAGGAAGAAUGAGAGAAGAAAAGGAAAAGGAAGGAAACGGAAAUAAAAAGGUUAAGCAUGAACUGGUUUUGUGCCUUGACGAUGAGAAUAAAAACUAGCCAUUCGUUACAAUAAAUUAACACUAUGUACAAUCAUUUCA